CCUACGGGUGGCAGCAGUAGGGAAUCUUCCACAAUGGACGAAAGUCUGAUGGAGCAACGCCGCGUGAGUGAAGAAGGGUUUCGGCUCGUAAAGCUCUGUUGGUAGUGAAGAACGAUAGAGGUAGUAACUGGCCUUUAUUUGACGGUACUUACUUAGAAAGUCACGGCUAACUACGUGCCAGCAGCCGCGGUAAUACGUAGGUGGCAAGCGUUGUCCGGAAUUAUUGGGCGGAAAGCGAGUGCAGGCGGUUCAGUAAGUCUGAUGUGAAAGCCUUCGGCUCAACCGGCGAAUUGCAUCAGAAACUGGUGAACUUGAGUUCAGAAGAGGAGAGUGGAACUCCAUGUGUAGCGGUGGAAUGCGUAGAUAUAUGGAAGAACACCAGUGGCGAAGGCAGCUCACUGGGCUGCAACUGACGCUGAGGCUCGAAAGCAUGGGGAGCGAACAGGAUUAGAUACCCGAGUAGUC
rnacentral:rRNA from 1 species